rnacentral:rRNA from 1 species
AAUAUUGGACAAUGGGCGCAAGCCUGAUCCAGCAGUGCCACGCGGGUGAAGAAUGUCUUCGGAUGGUCCAGCCCUGUCGGCGGGGGCGGUGAUGUCGGUACCCGCUGCAGAAGCCCAGGCCAACUUCGAGCCAGCGGCCGCGGUACUACGAAAGGGGCUAGCGUUGCUCGGAAUCACUGGGCGUAAAGGGCGCGUAAGCGGCGUGAUUAGUCAGGCAUGAAAGCCCUGGGCUCAACCGGGGGACUGCGCUUGAGACGACCAUGCUUGAGGGCGGAAGAGGCUCGCGGAAUUCCCAGUGUAGAGGUGAAAUUCGUAGAUAUUGGGAAGAACACCGGUGGCGAAGGCGGCGGGCUGGUCCGUACCUGACGCUGAGGCGCGACAGCGUGGGGAGCAAACAGG